rnacentral:tRNA from 1 species
GGGGUAGGGGCAAAAGCCGUGAUCAUAAGGGAGUUUGAAAGAGGGGUUUUCCCCUCUUUCAGAGGCUUGCAACCGAGAGGUCCCGGGUUCAAAUCCCGGCCGGUCCA